GUGGUGGCUCAGUGGUAGCGCGCUCACCUAGCAAGCGUGAACCCUGGGUUCGAUCCUCAGUACCACA
rnacentral:tRNA from 1 species